ACCUCCAGCUCACAACUCCAGCAGCGCAGAGCAGAGGGAAGCCUAAAGGCUAUCAUACAGUUGCCCAAAGGGGCCCUCCCUGAGGGAAGGAAGGAUAUAUCCCAGAGAAAACCAGAGAGGGAAGUAUCCUGUGGAUCUUGGACAUUGGAAGAUGGGGACAUAAUUCACCCGACACACUUGAAGCAGCUGUCAUUUGGCUACCUGACCGAGAGACAAGACAAUAGGGCUUGUCUGCUCCUUCAAGAAUAUUCAUCCCACAUGUAAGGUCCUUUUAUCCCCAAGAACCACUCCACCUUCAUGAUAUCCAAGUGAGUUUAAUGUAGGGCUUAAUCCUGCAAGGGAGAGGCGGAUGGAGAAGAGUAUGUGGCCAGAACAGCCAAAUGGCUGCUCAUAAUCUUGUGAGUUGAUUGGCAAUACCUGGCACCAAAAUGUUUUCAUAAAUAUUGACUUUGCACACCACAUUGGCAUGCUCUGAACACAGGCUCUAUGUCCUAGCUCCAAAAAUUUUUCUUCCUUCACCAUCCCCUGAAAGCAUGUGUCAAAAUACGUGAGUGGUGUCCCUGGUUUGCUUUGUUUUUCUCCAUGCAGUAUUGCCAGUGCAGCUGCUGAUUAUGUGCAUGAAUCACUGAAGCCUGAGGGCUUGCAGAAUUAAGCCCAUAUUUUGCAAAUGCUUCAGUAAUUAUGCUUUGAGAAUCUAUAUGAAAUUUUGAAUGUGUAUAUAUUUUAUUAUAUUUGAGGUAGAAUUAUGCUAACCCAUAAAUGGAAACACUUGCCAUUUGGGUAGUAUUAGAUGCAAUUUGAUCCUUCAAUGAAAUACUGAAGUUGGCUAUACUCUUUGCACACAAAUUCAAAUUAGCAUUACAACUUGUUAGACAAGAAACUUGACAUGUAUCGUCUACAUUCUGUGGAUAUUUGGGCCAAAAAAUAAACAAAGCCUUUAUCUUGUAGUCU